rnacentral:lncRNA from 1 species
AACGGUGGGCUCCAGCGUGGUGGCAGCUAGGGUUGCGGAGGCGCUAGAGAACUCAAGGCGGCUAGGGUUUGGUGGGAAGUCUUGAGGUGCGGUGGCAGCGGUAUAUAUAUAGCUUGGGAGGAGGGCGUCAUGGCAUGCGGGCCAAGCGGAGCGGUGUAGGCGGUUGGAGGACGGAGGUGGUAGGUGGGACCCGCCUGUCAUCGGGAGGUAGCGGGCGCACUGCAAGAACGACCAGCGUGGGAAGCUAGGUCGAGAUAGGGGUGGAGGCGGGCUGGCGCUGGGCCGCUAUGCUACUGGGCUGAAAAAGGGACAACGGGCCAAAAGAAGGAAGCAAGUCGAAAGGAAAAGAAGAAAAGGUAGGGAAAAGAAAAGGGUUUGUUAUUGUUCAAAAAGGUUCAAACAAAUGAAUUCAAAUUUAGCAACCAAAAACAAUGUAGCAGCAUGAAUGCAACAAUGAACUCCUAUGAUUCAUUAAGUUAUUUUGAAAGAGAUUUAAUUGCCUAAGAAAAUUUAAAUGCGACCUUAAAAUCUUUAGACACACGCAUUCACUUUCUAGCAAAUUUUAUUAAAUUGCAAAGUUUGAAAAUUAGGGUGUUACAGCCAACCUGUUCCAAACAAUGAG